UACGUAGGGGGCAAGCGUUGUCCGGAUUUAUUGGGCGUAAAGAGCGUGUAGGCGGCUAGAUAGGUCCGUUGUGAAAACUCGAGGCUCAACCUCGAGACGUCGAUGGAAACCAUCUGGCUAGAGUCCGGAAGGGGCGAGUGGAAUUCCUGGUGUAGCGGUGAAAUGCGCAGAUAUCAGGAGGAACACCAAUGGCGAAGGCAGCUCGCUGGGACGUGACUGACGCUGAGACGCGAAAGCGUGGGGAGCAAACAGG
rnacentral:rRNA from 1 species